rnacentral:misc_RNA from 1 species
UAGUUUUAUGUUAUUUGAAGUUUUAUGGUAUAUUCACAUUUAUUUGACUUUUUUUUUUUGGGCACUCACCUCGCUCAAGCGCAUACAUGCACCUUGCACCUAGGCUCCAGACUCCUUGGAGCCUUAGUGAGCCUUUAAUAACUACGUUGUAAUGGUUGUAAACUUGUAAUAUAACAAUAACGGCUUGUCGCUAUGCAAAUUUUUUUGAAA